rnacentral:tRNA from 1 species
GCUGUGGAAGUAGCUCAGAGGUAGAGUGUUUGCUUACUAUGCAUAAUGCCCUGGGUUCAAUCCCCAGUACUACAGCA